rnacentral:tRNA from 1 species
AAACAAGAAGCAAAACUUGCAUUUAGUUUCGACCUAAAAAUCUGAUGAUUUUCAUCCUUGUUUU